AAACAUAGCUUCUAGCCAAACAACUAUUAGAAGUACCGCCUGCCCUGUGGUAAACCUAAACGGCCGCGGCACUAAAACCGUGCAAAGGUAGCACAAUCACUCGUCCCCUAAAUAGAGACCCGUAUGAAAGGCAACACGAGAGAAAACCUGUCUCCUAAGAUACGCCAAUGAAAUUGAACUCCCAGUACAAAAGCUGGCAUAUAACAGCAAGACAAAAAGACCCUGUGGAACUUUAAAGACUUGCUUACACAAACUAAACAAUAUUUUCAGUUGGGACAACUUUAGAAAAAAUAAACCUCUAAAUACGACUAAGACCAACAAGUCUACCCCAUCUCACAGACCCAGUCACACUGACUAAUGAAACAAGCUACCCCAGGGAUAACAGCGCCACCUUCUCAAAAAGUCCCUAUUAACAAGAAGACCUACGACCUCGAUGUUGGAUCAGGGUACCCAGACGGUGCAACAGCUGUCAAAGGUUCGUUUGUUCAACGACUAACACCCUACGUGAUCUGAGNUCAGACCGGA
rnacentral:rRNA from 1 species